rnacentral:misc_RNA from 1 species
GCCACAAUAGUCAUCGGUGUACAGAAAGGGAGAGGGGGAGCCUCGAACCUGGCCAGGUUUCGAAAAGUGCUUUAUGCCACCAAAUUACACGGGGCUAGGCAACUAUGAGAAUCUAUUGGAGCGUAUCCACUUUGAAAGAAAAAAUUAUUAGGUGCACCGGUACACAUGCAUUAUCUCUCACAAUCACGUGGGAUUCAUUCUUUCUAUUAUAAAGAGAAUCCACUUUUCUGUGAGAGAUGAAACAUUAUUUUUAGUACUCUCGAUGUAUCUAAUAAUUAGCCUUUUAAAAAAUGUUUGCUCCUCUAUUUAUAGACUUCAUUCGCUUUGUGGUCAAAGAUUGCAUUAUGGAAAACUUGAUGAACAAGUAUUUAU